UGCCAUCUGGUAGCUAUUUAUCUGUUUUUUGGUUGUUGGUGGUGGUAGCACAAAUAACAGUAGCUCCAAGAUCUUUAGCUAAGCCCUACUGUCUUUACAGUUUAUUACUGACUGAUUAAUCUAGAACUGAUUAAUCUAGAACUGCAGACACCUGUGUCAAAGGUAUCCGGUUGUACUAUAUAUAUAUAAUAUCACCAAAGACCAGAUGAAAUUAGAUUUUUGUGAAAAUGCAAACUGAAGCAACGCAUGAGCUACAGUUUCCUGUUAUUAAAGGAUGUCUUGUCUUCUUCUUUUACUAAAACCUCUUAACUUCCAUCUUACAGGUGUACAUCACCUGCUCUGUCAUCCUGUGCGAGCCUGGCAGUGCCUUUUCCAGAUGUGCCCAGGGUUGUCUGACGGAUCCAUCCCGGCGCAGGCGCAAGCGUUCGCUGCACAGGGAGACAGUCGGACACUACAUUACCCAGGGUCCUUUGCGGUUUGGCAUUCAGGCUGUUGCCAAAGCAACUGUGGAUGAUGACAGCCCUGUGAUUAAAAAGAGUGACCCGUCCGCUACAGUGAAUCUUCCACCAGUUUAUCCAGACAUUAAAUCCAGCGAAGGAGCUUGGGGAAUGAAGGAGAUCCUCAACACCAACAUCAGCACUGUGGUGUUUGCCAGCGCCUUCUUUGUGUCACUGGUGGUGAUGGCUGCGGUUGUUGGUUACUUCAUAAGGAAGAGAAAAGCUGAAGACUGCAAAUCUCUUUUAGUUUCAGCUUGGGAUAACUAAACCCAACUAAUCUCUUUUACUAUUUGUUGUAUUUUGUUAAAGGAUUGAUUCACCUCCUUUAGAGGUCUGUCUUACUAAAACAAUGCUCACGUGUCUAUAUGUACAUUCCUUCAUCAUCCCUCCGGAUCAUAAUGCUAUUUGAAAAGAUCUCUUUUUAAAGCUAGAGUUGGUUGUAAUGAGAAACUAGCAA